GUCUUUUUGAUUAUAAUUUAAAGUCUAACCUGCCCAAUGAAAAUUAAAUGGCCGCGGUAUUUUGACCGUGCAAAGGUAGCAUAAUCAUUAGUUUUUUAAUUAAAAGCUGGAAUGAAUGGUUGGACGAGAAAAUUACUGUCUCAAUUUAAUUUAAUUAGAAUUUUAUUUUUAAGUUAAAAAGCUUAAAUAAAUUUAAAAGACGAGAAGACCCUAUAGAGUUUAAUAUUAUAUAAAAUUUUAAUUUUUAUAAAUUUUUUAAUUUUUUAUAAUAUUUUAUUGGGGUGAUAAAUAAAUUUAUAAAACUUUAUUUUAUUUUUAACAUAAAUUAAUGAUUUAUUGAUCCAUUAUUAAUGAUUAUAAGAUUAAAUUACCUUAGGGAUAACAGCGUAAUUUUUUUAGAGAGUUCAAAUCGAAAAAAAAGAUUGCGACCUCGAUGUUGGAUUAAAGUAAAUUUUUGGUGUAGAAGCUAAAAUAUUAAGUCUGUUCGACUUUUAAAACUUUACAUGAUCUGAGUUUAAACCGGCGUGAGCCAGGUUGGUUUCUAUCUUUAAAUAAAUAAAAUAUUUUAGUACGAAAGGACCAAAUAUUUAUAAUAAUUAUUUUUUUUUGAAUAU
rnacentral:rRNA from 1 species